rnacentral:rRNA from 1 species
UGUCGAAUAAUGGGCGUAAGGCCGCUAGCGUUGACAGUCUGAUUGAAUCUACGCUCACCCAUAGCAUGCAUCAGCACUGUCGGCUUGAGUAUGGCAGAAGUUACUUGUAUUUCCGUGUAGCGGUGAAUGCGUAGAUAUCGAAGUACACUUGUGGCGAAGCGGCUCCACUGGACCAUACUGACGCUGAGCGCGAAAGCUAGGGAGCAAACAGGAUUAGAUACCGUGGUAGUCCUAGCCCUAAACGAUGAUUGCUUGGUGUGAUCGGUACCCAAUCCGAUCGUGCCGCAGCUAACGCGAUAAGCUCUCCGCGUGGGGAGUACGGUCGCAAGGCUGCAACUCAAAGGAAUUGACGGGGGGCCCGCACAAGCGGUGGAGCAUGUGGUUCAAUUCGACGCAACGCGAAGAACCUUACCUGGGCUAGAAAUGCAGGAGACCGGGGUAGAAAUAUCCCUUUCUCGCAAGAGACUGCUGUAUAGGUGCUGCAUGGCUGUCGUCAGCUCGUGUCGUGAGAUGUUGGGUUAAGUCCCGCAACGAGCGCAACCCUCAUCCCUAGUUGCCACCGGGUAAUGCCGAGCACUCUAGUGAAACCGCCCCGGAUAACGGGGAGGAAGGUGGGGAUGACGUCAAGUCCUCAUGGCCUUUAUGUCCAGGGCUACACACGUGCUACAAUGGUCGGUACAAACCGUCGCAAAGCUGCAAAGUGGAGCUAAUCGGAAAAAGCCGGCCUCAGUUCGGAUUGGAGUCUGCAACUCGACUCCAUGAAGCUGGAAUCGCUAGUAAUCGCAGAUCAGAACGCUGCGGUGAAUACGUUCCCGGGCCUUGUACACACCGCCCGUCACAUCACGAAAGUGGACUGCACUAGAAGCCGGUGAGCCAACCGCAAGGGGGCAGCCGUCCAAGGUAUGGUUCAUGAUUGGGGUGAAGUCGUAACAAGGUAACCAAGGGCGAAUCGUGAGAUGCUAGC